ACAAUGGGCGCAAGCCUGAUAUAGCCAUGCCGCGUGUGUGAUGAAGGCGUUAGGGUCUUAAAGCACUUUCUCCAGGGAUGAUAAAGACAGUACCCGGUAAAGAAACCCCGGGUAAAUCCGUGCCAGCAGCCGCGGUAAUAUGGAGGGGGUGAGCGUUUUUUGGAAAUACUGGGCGUAAAGCGUAUGUGGGGGGAUCAGAAAGUAAGGGGUGAAAUCCCAGGGCUCAACCCCGGAACUGCCUAUUAAACUCUUGGUCUUGAGUUCACGAGAGAUGAAAGGAAUUCCGAGAGUAGAGGUGAAAUUUGUAGAUAUUCGGAGGAACACCAGUGGCGAGGGCGGCUCACAGGCUCGAUAGAGACGCUGAGGUGCGAAAGAGUGGGGAGCAAACACGAGAAGAUACCCCGGUAGUCCACACCCUAAACGAUGAAUGCCAGUGGUCGGGCAGUUACUUUCGGUGACACA
rnacentral:rRNA from 1 species